rnacentral:rRNA from 1 species
AUGCAAAACAAUAAGGUAGUUGCAUAUGCAUCUCAACAGUUAAAGACAUAUGAGAAAAAUUAUCCAACUCAUGAUUUGGAAUUGUGUGAUGUUAUUUUUUCAUUAAAAAUAUGGAGGCAUUAUUUGUAUGGAGAACGUUGUGAACUUUUUACGGAUCAUAAGAGCCUGAAAUACAUAUUCACCCAGAAGGAAUUAAACAUGCGACAACGAAGGUGGUUAGAAUUACUUAAGGAUUAUGAUAUCAACAUAAAUUAUCAUCCAGGUAAAGCUAACGUUGUUGCUGAUGCACUUAGUAGAAAGGCUGAUUGCAACAUGGCAUGUCUAAUCACUACACAAAAGGACAUUUUGAGGGAUUUGGAAAAACUAGGAAUAGAAGUAUAUGUACGUGAUUUAACUAGCACUAUUAUGGCAUUACAAGUCAAACCUAAUCUGCAAGACAAAAUUCGGAUGAGGCAAAUGGAUGACCCAUUUCUUUUGAACCUCCGAAAGGGAAUAGAACAAGGAAAUCCAUCAGAGUUUCAUAUACGAAGUGAUGGGUCUGUAUGGCUGAGAAACCGCAUAUGUGUCCCUGACUAG